rnacentral:rRNA from 1 species
UACGUAGGGGGCCAGCGUUGUCCGGAUUUAUUGGGCGUAAAGCGCGUGUAGGCGGUCCGGUAAGUCGGCUGUGAAAGUCAAGGGCUCAACCCUUGAAUGCCGGCCGAUACUGCCGGGCUAGAGUCCGGAAGAGGCGAGUGGAAUUCCUGGUGUGGCGGUGAAAUGCGCAGAUAUCAGGAGGAACACCGAUGGCGAAGGCAGCUCGCUGGGACGGUACUGACGCUGAGACGCGAAAGCAUGGGGAGCAAACAGGAUUAGAUACCCC